GCUUUCAUGGCCCAUUGGUCAUCAGGGCAAUCGACAAAGGCGUAGCCAGAUUUCACCAAGAACUGGCCACUGAAGGAGAUUUUGUGGUCGUUGAAGACUUUCUCCAGAUCCGCCGGAGUCACGUUCUCGUUGAGGUUUCCAAUGUACAGCUUGUUCAUGGCUGAUGCGUUCCGCACAAAAUGUUGGAUACAUAUGUGCACAUCCAUAUUGCUGGAUUGUCUCCCUUAAUGUUCAAGUUGUUAGUAAAACUGGCAGAAGUCAUAAAUAUGGUGUGACCAUUGUAUACAACUGUUUUCUAACCUUACAUUCGCAAUAAACCGUUGUAAUAAAAUUGCA